rnacentral:rRNA from 1 species
UGGGGAAUCUUGCACAAUGGGCGAAAGCCUGAUGCAGCGACGCCGCGUGCGGGAUGAAGGCCUUCGGGUUGUAAACCGCUUUCAGCAGGGACGAGGCCGCAAGGUGACGGUACCUGCAGAAGAAGCCCCGGCUAACUACGUGCCAGCAGCCGCGGUAAUACGUAGGGGGCAAGCGUUAUCCGGAUUCAUUGGGCGUAAAGCGCGCGUAGGCGGUUUGUUAGGUCAGGAGUUAAAUCUGGGGGCUCAACCCCUAUCCGCUCCUGAUACCGGCAGGCUUGAGUCUGGUAGGGGAAGGCGGAAUUCCAAGUGUAGCGGUGAAAUGCGCAGAUAUUAGGAAGAACACCGGUGGCGAAGGCGGCCUUCUGGGCCACGACUGACGCUGAGGCGCGAAAGCUAGGGGAGCGAACAGG